UUACUUCAUAGUUGAUAGUACUUUCUGAUUUGUGUUGAGAGUAAGCAACGCGGCAAGAGAUGUGGAGGUGAAGUGUGCCAUGGAAGACGACGGUGGCUUAAGAUCGUUGAGGUGUAGCCGAGCACAGCGACGUCGGAUCUGAAGAUAGAGGACUAUAGCCAUCUAUCCCACCGACCACCGUCAUCUCUAUCUCUCUCUUAAUUCAACGGCGGAGGAGGAUAAGUAUUAAAUCCCGGUCCAAUUACCGGUAUGAAAGAUACUACAGGUAUGAAAGAUUGUCCGUUUUAUCUAAAAACUGUUCGGUUCGGUUAUGGUAGACAUGGCAUUUACAAUCAACUGUCUUACUCAUUCCCCACCGAUUGUAAGGUGUAGUUUUUAGAUUUAUGUUUUUUUUUAUCAAGUUUGAGAGUGAUUAGCCAUGUUCAUUUCAGUGGGGUUAAACGUUUUUUAUUUUGAUUAUCAGGCCAGAACUCUUGAUUGGAGAUUUGAUAAGAGAACUCAGAAGCUACACAACAGAAAGUCAAGAUAUAUGCCAGUGAAUAUGUUAACUAAACUGAAUGUGAUUUUAUGUUUAUACUUUCUUGAAUUCAUUUUAGGUUUGGUUUAACUUUGUCUUCGUAUUUUGAUUCUCAGGCUAGAACAAUGGAUUUGAGGGCGAGCAGAUCCACAUGGAUAUCAAGAUCCAAAUCAGAAGCCAAAGAUUCAGGCGAAUAAAGAUAAGUAGAGAUGCGAGAGACGUGACCAACAGCUUUUCGAACAAAAUCCAAAGAGACCACAUAAUUUGGCAGAGGAGAAGCUACAGUAGAGAAGAUAUGUGGUCAGAUCUCUGUUGGUCGAAACAUUGGUACCACUAGAGUUCUGAGAUCUGGUUGCAAGAUUAACUUCCUUAGGAGGAGGAGGCAGAGAUUAGCCUCACUCGAGAAGAAUAGAAAGAAGCUUGCUCCUGCCCCCAACAAACCAGUUAAGAUUUCAUUAAAAACUCUUAGUGACCGAGAUUAGUUUCUGACAAAAUGCUUGAAUCAUUUUUUGCUUGCAGGACACGUUUUUGAUUGCUUCUGGAGUUAGCGUCAUGGCCGGGACGCUUUCUGCUGCUGAAAUUGCCUCUGUCAUUAACAAGUAUGGAUCUCCUCGCCCUAGAAUGGAAAGGUAAGACUAGAAGAAAACAAAAAAAAAUUGCUUUGAUUAGAACGAAAGAAAACAUCAAGGUUAGAGUUUUUAACAAAGAGCAUCUAGAAAUGCAAAGUUAAGAGCUAUUGAAGAUUUAAGGAAGGCUAAACUGAGAGCUCGAACUUUUGAUGAAGCAGCAAAUGGAGGAGAACGGAAGUCUUUGCAGUAGCCAAAUGGUCGAGAGCUCCUCAAAAAUAUUUUAGAGAUGCAGUGGUCGAGAUGAUCAUAGAGAAUGGUAUCAACCACCAGGAAGAACUCAAAGAGGUUCUCAUUUGUUAUCUCAGAUUCAACACCGACGAAUAUCAUGUCGACAUGAACAUCAAUAUGUUUCAGCAGAUGUUUAAGACAUGGGAAAAAAUUAUGGAGGAAAGACUAAGGGGGAAACAAAAUGAUACUUAUAGCAAACUUGGGAGUGAAGAAACUGGUGUCUCAGUGGAAAAGGUGAAAGCGAAGUGGUGGGGGAAGUUAAGGAGUACUAGGUAUUAAUGGUCUGUUUCUUUUCUCGAGAUGCAGAUCUUUUUUUCAAAACACAUUUAGUGUCAUUUGAGGUUUUGGUUUUGUUGCUGAGAAGG